GACGAACGCUGGCGGCGUGCCUAAUACAUGCAAGUAGAACGCUGAAGGAGGAGCUUGCUUCUCUGGAUGAGUUGCGAACGGGUGAGUAACGCGUAGGUAACCUGCCUGGUAGUGGGGGAUAACUAUUGGAAACGAUAGCUAAUACCGCAUAAUAGCAGUUGUUGCAUGAUAACUGUUUGAAAGGUGCAAUUGCACCGCUACCAGAUGGACCUGCGUUGUAUUAGCUAGUUGGUGGGGUAACGGCUCACCAAGGCGACGAUACAUAGCCGACCUGAGAGGGUGAUCGGCCACACUGGGACUGAGACACGGCCCAGACUCCUACGGGAGGCAGCAGUAGGGAAUCUUCGGCAAUGGACGGUAGUCUGACCGAGCAACGCCGCGUGAGUGAAGAAGGUUUUCGGAUCGUAAAGCUCUGUUGUAAGAGAAGAACGAGUGUGAGAGUGGAAAGUUCACACUGUGACGGUAUCUUACCAGAAAGGGACGGCUAACUACGUG
rnacentral:rRNA from 1 species